CAAAGAGACAUGAGGCAAGAUGGCUGGCCCCAGCUACUUCACUCCUAGAUGAAACUGAAGUUACCUGUUGUCCUUGGGGUGGUAUGGCAGGGAGAAUGAAAACAUGCUCCUGUGGCCGGCAAGAGAAUAACGGUUGGAAAGAAAACAAAAUUCACCCAGAUUUUAAAUGCUGUCGGAUAAUAAAAUGGGUCAAUCUGUUAUUUGGGAAAGGCUGAUGAA